CAACAUACACCGCCUUGCUCUUUAAAUAAAGUUUCUCUUCUCUUUGGCCUUCACCUGCAUCCCCAAUCCAUCCUCUCUUCUCUGAAUGAUUUUGGAAGAGGUUGAAGAGAGGAAAGAUCCAAUCUUUGUGAUGCUUUUGUUGGUCUUUAUUAGCUUUUUAGUUUGAAAUUUGAAUUUUUUUCCCUGGGUUUAUAGAUUUUUUGACCAGUACUGCACUUUGUCUUCUUGCAUGCGGGUUUUGAUGCGUCAGUGACUAUUUGAAUGAAAUGAAAGAGGCUGCGGCGAGAAAAAGUCUGAUUUUUUUGGGUGAUGAAAAUGUCUUUUGAUUUAUAGUUUUCAUAAGUUUUUUUUUGUUUAGUUUGAUCUGAAUUUUUAGUUAUUUGGUGAAUCUUAGAGCGAGGAAGGUAACGCGUCAAGGGAAUAUUGUGAUUGCUCAAGAAAUGAGAGUUUUUUGUUAGUAGGGACUCUUUUUUUUUUCUUUGCAAAAAUCCCAUUUUAGUGAAAAACCAGUUUAUUUUCUCCUCACAUUUUCUUUUGAAAGGAGAGGAGAAUACUGCACAGUAAUUGCUCAGCUUUUGAUUGGCUUUUUGGGUAUUUAUCCCGGAGGUGUAUCCCAAAAUCAGACCAGUGGCCUUUCGGUGAUUAUAAGUUGAACUCAUUGGUUAGUAUGCUGAAGAAGAACUCUAGGCCAGUGAGCAACAAGCAAAACCUAAUGGCUGAUCAUCUCUCUCUUCCUUGUCCGACUGCAAAUUACAAUAAACCCCCUACAUCACCUCUCUUCCCUUUAUCUCCAAGGCUCUACGGAGGCUUCUCCCCAAGGGGCAAUUUGGAUAUUGACGCUGCGAUGAGCCCGACCUCCAUUCUCGAGACAAAACCCUUCACCUUGACCCGAAACCGGUUCUCCUCCGACAAGAACCAUAGAAAAUCCGUUGCAGAGUCGACGCAUGAGCCUGUUGGGCUUGGCAUUGUCGACUCAUUGAAGAAGCCCUCAAAGCCUGAAAACAGAAUGGUCCUCAAAAUUCAAAUUCCUUCAUAUAGUUGUGAGGAGUCUCUGCAAUCUCCUACUAUUGAGUUUGGGGUCAAGAACAAGGAAGCUCAGCUUUCGUUGCUCUCUCCGGUGAGGAGAAAUCCAAUGGAGACCGAGACUUUGGUCUCUGGUUGCAUUUUGAGUAGAGAGAUGGAGAUGUCGGAGGACUAUACUUGUGUUAUUGCUCAUGGGCCUAACCCGAAGAUGACCCAUAUUUUUGACAAUUACAUUGUGGAGAAUUGUGGCAAAGGGUUUGCUUCUAUGAGUCCUAGGAAGAAGGAGAGCAGAGUCUCGGACGGUUUUCUUAGUUUUUGUCAUGCUUGCAAGAAGAAGCUUGGGCAAGGGAAGGACAUUUUCAUGUAUAGAGGGGAGAAAGCCUUCUGUAGCCAUGAAUGCCGAUACCAAGAGAUGCUUUUCGACGAAGGGAUAGAAGAUUGCUUGCCGAUGGAUAAUUCUGUAACUCUCUAGCACAAGCUCAGUUCUUGGCUUCUGUCUACCUCUCCUUUCCUUAUGGUUGAAAUCAAAACUAGGAAUUAAACCAUGGUGAAUGUGUUUAUGUAAUUUCCUUGUUGUAAAGUUUAUUGGGGGUUGCUCAUUUUCAUCAAAUUGGAAGAAAAUGUUGUUUGCAAGUUUUGCUAGAGAUCUUCACCAGUGUGACGUAGGGUUUCUAAACUUUUUGGCUUGAGAGAAUAAUGUUUUGCUGCUGAUUGAGAGCGCAAACUAUGAAGUGCGUAUACCGUAGUGUGAAUUUUUUUUUUUAUCCCUCCACCUUCAUCACAACUUUGAAGCAUCUACCAAAAUUCUAGGUUUUGCAAGAGAGAUUAUACAAAUACUUUGCUUAUGUCACUGAGUACUUUCUUUUUCUUUAGAGGAUUAUGACAUGUAUAUAGUUUGUCUAAUCAAACAAUCAAGUGGAGCUGGAUGAAAUAAUUUGCUUUUUGCUUGCACUAA